UAGGGAAUCUUCCGCAAUGGGCGAAAGCCUGACGGAGCAACGCCGCGUGAGUGAUGAAGGUCUUCGGAUCGUAAAACUCUGUUAUUAGGGAAGAACAAAUGUGUAAGUAACUAUGCACAUCUUGACGGUACCUAAUCAGAAAGCCACGGCUAACUACGUGCCAGCAGCCGCGGUAAUACGUAGGUGGCAAGCGUUAUCCGGAAUUAUUGGGCGUAAAGCGCGCGUAGGCGGUUUUUUAAGUCUGAUGUGAAAGCCCCCGGCUCAACCGGGGAGGGUCAUUGGAAACUGGUUGACUUGAGUGCAGAAGAGGAGAGUGGAAUUCCAUGUGUAGCGGUGAAAUGCGUAGAUAUAUGGAGGAACACCAGUGGCGAAGGCGGCUCUCUGGUCUGUAACUGACGCUGAGGCUCGAAAGCGUGGGGAGCGAACAGG
rnacentral:rRNA from 1 species